CGUGAGGGAAAGGUGAAAAGAACGCCGAGAAGGCGAGUGAAAUAGUACCUGAAACCGUGUGCUUACAAGCGGUCGGAGCUGCAUUUAUGCAGUGACGGCGUGCCUUUUGUAUAAUGAGCCUACGAGUUGCUCCUGUUGUGCGAGGUUAAGCCCCUAAGGGGUGGAGCCGUAGCGAAAGCGAGUCUGAAUAGGGCGUGCAGUACAGCGGGGCAGACGCGAAACCAAGUGAUCUAUCCAUGGUCAGGGUGAAGCGGUGGUAAGACACCGUGGAGGCCCGAACCGGUUGACGUUGAAAAGUCUUCGGAUGAACUGUGGAUAGGGGUGAAAGGCC
rnacentral:rRNA from 14 species